rnacentral:rRNA from 1 species
UACGUAGGGGGCAAGCGUUGUCCGGAUUUAUUGGGCGUAAAGAGCGUGUAGGCGGCCAGGUAGGUCUGCUGUGAAAACUCGAGGCUCAACCUCGAGCUGUCGGCGGAAACCAUCUGGCUAGAGUCCGGAAGAGGAGAAUGGAAUUCCCGGUGUAGCGGUGAAAUGCGCAGAUAUCGGGAAGAGCACCCGUGGCGAAGGCGGUUCUCUGGGACGGUACUGACGCUGAGACGCGAAAGCGUGGGGAGCGAACAGG